CCCUUAGAUGUUCUGGGCUGCACGCGCGCUACACUGACACACUCAGCGAGUCUCCUGGCCCGAGAGGGUUGGGUAAUCAUGUGAGCGUGUGUCGUGAUGGGGAUAGAAUAUUGUAAUUAUUGCUCUUCAACGAGGAAUUCCUAGUAAGCGCGAGUCAGCAGCUCGCGCUGAUUACGUCCCUGCCCUUUGUACACACCGCCCGUCGCUCCUACCGAUGGGGUGAUCCGGUGAAUGAUUCGGACUUCCGCAGUGCUAGCUACUAGCUACGUCAGGGAAAGUUCUGUGAACCUUAUCACUUGGAGGAAGGAGAANUCGUAACA
rnacentral:rRNA from 1 species